rnacentral:rRNA from 1 species
AAAAACAUAACUGUAUGAAAUAUUAUACAGCUUUUUCUGCUCCAUGAGACGUUAAAUAGCCGCAGUACCCUGACUGUGCAAAGGUAGCAUAAUCAAUUGGCUUCUAAUUAAAGUCUGGCAUGAAUGAACGCAUGGGUAAUGACUGUCUUAGGAAUGUUGAUAUGAAAUUAUUAAGUUAGUGCAAAUGCUAAUGGAAAUAAAAAAGACGAGAAGACCCUAGAAACUUAAACUACUUUUGCUGGGGCGGCAGAAUUGCAUAUAACCAAUUACUUUACAUGAGCAGCGGUGCUGGAAGAAAAAGUUACUCUAGGGAUAACAGCAUAAUUUAAAUAGUUUGUGACCUCGAUGUUGGACUAGGGAAAUUACGCCUUAGAAGGGCGUGAUAAUAGCUCUGUUCGAGCUUUUAGCCCCUACGUGAUCUGAGU